GUAAAGCCAAAACCUUGCCCACAGACAGCAGCACUCUCCAGAGGAGUCCUGUGCCUGCUCUGAGCAGCAGCAGAUUAGCAGUGAAAGUGCAGCUGUAAC
rnacentral:lncRNA from 1 species